rnacentral:lncRNA from 1 species
GAGGAGCUUAUAUUAAAAAUAAUAUAGCUCUUUUCAUGGACCAAUGUAUAAAUUUUUGGUCUUAAAAUAAAUUUUUGGUCUUAAAAUAAAAAAAAAUUGGCCUGUUUCUUUUUUAAUUCAGGACCGGAUCCGGGUCAGAUCCGGUUCCCUGGGAGGUCGCAUUUGUGCAUAUGCGCGUGCAUCCGGAACCAUGAUCAGGCCUACUGUGGAUUCGCAUUUCUGGAAAGCUUUCAUCUCAGAAAAGAAUCUAGUGGAUAAAUGCUUGGAUUGUAUGGCUAAUAACACUGCUGUUUGGAGAUCUGGUACUCCUAUAAAUAUGUUGGUGGGAAUUGUAGAAAGUAUUAGAGGUCAAAGUUAUAAAGACUUACUAGCCAAGAGAAUUUGGUCAAAUAUGCCAACAAAAUUUUCUAUUUUCCUAUGGUAGGUGAAAUGGGAUCACCUAAACACUUUCAGAAAACUGAG